GGAACCUGUCUGCAGGGACUGGUGGCAUCUCUCCCCUCUGCCUUGCAGAUCCUCUAUGCUGGCUGCCAUGCCUACCCGAACCUGUGCCAGCACCUGGGAAGGAGCCAGCCACUGUGGGGUUCCCUCAUGCAGCUCUUGAAGGGUGAGGUCCCUGUGGUAGAGGUGACCCAGGAGGCAGCCUGUGAAGCCUCUCUGUACCUGCUGGCCCUGCUCACCCUGCAGCUUCAGGCAUCCCCUCCCAGGUGUGAGGAGAUGGUUGCCCUGGCUGUGGAUCUCAUCACCCAGUCUCCUGUUGUGUCCCUUGUGGGUGCUGCAGCAUUUCUCCUGGCACAGCUCAGUCAGCAUGGGGUGGCUUUGGAGCUCAAGAGAGAAAAGAUCCUACCAGUGGUAGCAAAUGCACUGACUGCACCUGCUGAGCUGCAGCUCCCCCUGCCAAUGGGUGCUGGUCUCUAUGAUGGGUUGUUUUUCCUCCUGCUGAAACUCCUUGAACAGGUACCAGUCUAGCCAUCUCCUUUGCCUGGUCUCUGCCAAAAGGUGUGGUGGCAAAAAGGCCUGAAUGCACAUUGGUAACAAGGCUGAGGGAAAGCAAGAGCUGUGCAGUUUUGGCUGCAUAACCCAUGAAAGUCACCUUGUGUCCCUGCAGGGCUGAUGGGAGAGUGGUGGGUGGGGAGGGGUGAUCCAUGGGCCCACUGGAGUGAAGGGGAGGGCAGAGAUGCCUGGGGACUGACACUACUGAAAGGUGCAGCAGGACUCCUGGUCCAUGUCUGUCUAGCUCCGACCUUCAGAGAACCAUGGGACUGGCAGAUCCAUGUAUCAGAACCCUGAGGGGCCAUGAAGGCCUCUGACAUCUGCCUCUCUGCCUCUAGGAGGAUGUGGUCUUGGAGCAGGGCUUUGCUUCCUCUGAGCUGUGGAGCCUGGUCUGGCAUUGUGUUGCUGUGGUGCUUCAUGUGGGGACCACCAGUGCAGUGCUGGAGGGAGAUCCACCCCCAGGUGCUGGUCACCCCACGGCAGAGCCAGACUGGAACCUCCUCUCCCCUCAAGGUA
rnacentral:lncRNA from 14 species